rnacentral:rRNA from 1 species
CCUACGGGAGGCUGCAGUGGGGAAUAUUGCACAAUGGGGGGAACCCUGAUGCAGCAAUGCCGCGUGGGUGAAGAAGCACUCCGGUGCGUAAAGCCCUGUCAGCAGGGAAGAAAAUGACGGUACCUGAAGAAGAAGCCCCGGCUAACUACGUGCCAGCAGCCGCGGUAAUACGUAGGGGGCAAGCGUUAUCCGGAUUUACGGGGUGUAAAGGGGGCGCAGACGGCGAUGCAAGCCAGGAGUGAAAGCCCGGGGCCCAACCCCGGGACUGCUCUUGGAACUGCGUGGCUAGAGUGCAGGAGGGGCAGGCGGAAUUCCUGGUGUAGCGGUGAAAUGCGUAGAUAUCAGGAGGAACACCGGUGGCGAAGGCGGCCUGCUGGACUGCAACUGACGUUGAGGCCCGAAAGCGUGGGGAGCAAACAGGAUUAGAUACCCCGGUAGUC